AUCCAGUUGACGAGUUCCAAAUAGGAUGAAAUAUGUGUCCUGGAU
rfam:Schistosoma margrebowiei strain Zambia genome assembly, scaffold: SMRZ_contig0002333